ensembl:lncRNA
GCAAUUGCGACAAAGAGGCAAGAUAUGAUGUUUGUUUCUUUUAAUUGCAGAAACAUCAGUCUGAAUAAAAUAAACAUACCAUGAAUUCAGCAUGACAACAUAACCUGUAGAUGGUGCACAUUGUCCGUGUAACAGGGUAUAUUUGGUGCCUUAUGAUUUUAAUUCAAAUGUGUCACAGGAACGAAAGAGGUACCAACUUACCAACCCGGCUUUAAACCUUUUCUUGAUCUGAAUAUUAAUGUCAGAUAUAAAUGGGGAGAACAUUACAAGAGUAAAAAGUUUGCCAACAAGCUCGAGUCCUGUGGCUUGAAGAAUGAUUUCCUUUUUGUCGUCUCGGGUUCUCUUUUUUUGUUGAAUUUUGACCCAAACCUUCAAAGGCAAAAAUAAAUUCAGGUUAUUCUAUUUACCUGAUUGAUUUAAUAUGACCAAUUACAGUUACAGCAUGUUGUGUUGUGUUUGUCUAUACAGAGGUUAGUGGAAAACACACAAACAGCCUCUUGUAACCUCUCCUUCCAUCUCCACCCCUGUGUUCCUUUAAUGAGGUUCUGCUGAAGUGGAUCCCACCAGAGACCAGCGACAGUAUUAAGGAUGAGAUGUCAUCUUCACAACAGUAUUCAUUUUACCUGACAGAUCAAUGUUGCAGCCACAAACCCGGACCCACUGGUUGGAGUGGUGGCACAGGUGGCGGCACGGAUCUCUCCCUGUCUGUCUAACAUCUCUCAGUGGAUGUCUGCUCACCAUCUGAAAAUCAACCCCAACAAGACUGGACUACUUCUCUUUCCGGGAAAAGAUUCUCCGACCCAGGACUUGACUGUCAACUUUGGCAACUCCGUGCUAACGCCUACUUUGACUGCUAGGAACCUCGGCAUGAC